AGUGGGAAAUAUAUUUGCAAAUCAUAUAUCUGAAAAGGGGCUAGUGUGUAGAAUACUCAAAAGCAUAUCACAUGUAAAAGAUAAAUUUUAAAAAUGGGUAAGUUAUUUGAAUAUUCAUUUCCCCAAAUAAGAUAUGCAAAAUAUAAUCAUCUUAUGAAAAUAUGGUAAGCAUCAUUAGCCAUUAAGUAAAUCAAUAUUAAAACCUCAUUUAAAACUACUUCACUCUGUUCUACAAGUAAAAAUAAGUAUUAACAAAUGUAAUUUAAAAAAAUUCACUGGGAUGACUGUCAUUAAAAGGAGAGACAAUACCCAGCAAUUUCAUCUGCAUAUGUACACCCAAGAGAAAUGAAAGCCCAUGUAUGUACACAUAAAAACAUAUGUGUGCAUAGCAGCAUUAUGCAUAGAAGCCAAACUGUAGCACCAAUCCCAGUAUCCACCAAUGAUGAAUGGGUAACAAAAUGUGAUGUAUUUAUACAAUGGUAUAUUACUCAGCCACAAAAAGGAAUUAAUUUUACAGUGAAUUAUAUCUCAACAAAAAGAAACUAUUGCAGCAAAACUUCAUUGAUUUCAGUGGCAAAGGAAAUAGAGAUGACUGGAGCCCACAAAUUUCCUUCACAUGAUAGUAAACAGUGGCUUUUCCUGAUAUGCCUUUAAAGUAAAUACGGUAGUGCAUAAUUUAUUCAAAAGACUUUCAGCUGCCUGAAUGGGCAAGUUGAUAAUAAUUAGAACCUUAGGAACAGAAGUUUGGGACGAAAGGCAGCAUUAAAGCAGAUGGCAGAUAGGAGGGAGAGAUUUCUGUAAUACAGCCCUGGGAAAGAUAAAGAAACUUCAUUCUAGCCCGUUGGGGAGGAGAAAACUGAAAUGCAGCUACCAGAUUUCAGCCCAAGAGAUUUGCAGCCCGUGAAAGAGGUCAUGAGUGGCAGAAGAGGGUGGAGUUUGAACGUUUUUACUCUGAAGAUUAUCUAAAAGAUUAACAACAUCAUCUGGAUGACCAGAAAAUGACUAAUUCCCUAUAAUUUUCUUGUGCAAG